rnacentral:rRNA from 1 species
UACGAAGGGGGCUAGCGUUGCUCGGAAUCACUGGGCGUAAAGGGCGCGUAGGCGGCGUUUUAAGUCGGGGGUGAAAGCCUGUGGCUCAACCACAGAAUUGCCUUCGAUACUGUUUGGCUUGAGACCGGAAGAGGUAAGUGGAACUGCGAGUGUAGAGGUGAAAUUCGUAGAUAUUCGCAAGAACACCAGUGGCGAAGGCGGCUUACUGGUCCGGUUCUGACGCUGAGGCGCGAAAGCGUGGGGAGCAAACAGG